AAGGUCGUAACAAGGUUUCCGUAGGUGAACCUGCGGAAGGAUCAUUAAAGAGUAAGGGUCUAACCGGCCUGAACCUCCAACCCUUUGUCGUUCAAAAAUCACCUUGUUGCUUUGGCGGGACGGUCGACUCACGUCGGCCGCCGGUCCCAGGAUCGGAGAGCUCCCGCCGGAGUCAAAAGCCAAAGCUCUUGUUAUUUAACCCAGUCGUCUGAGUACAAAAGUUUUUCAAUUAAACUAAAAAC
rnacentral:misc_RNA from 1 species